GUCCACGCCGUAACGAUGGAUACUAGCUGUUGGGUGCAAACUCAGUGGCUAAGCGAAGUGAUAAGUAUCCCACCUGGGGAGUACGUUCGCAAGAAUGAACUCAAAGGAAUUGACGGGGCCCGCACAAGCGGUGGAGCAUGUGGUUUAAUUCGAUGAUACGCGAGGAACCUUACCAAGGCUUAAAUGUAGAUUGACCGGUUUUGGAAACAGAUCUUUCGCAAGACAAUUUACAAGGUGCUGCAUGGUUGUCGU
rnacentral:rRNA from 1 species